UACGAAGGGGGCUAGCGUUGUUCGGAAUUACUGGGCGUAAAGCGUGCGCAGGCGGCUUCUCAAGUCAGGGGUGAAAGCCCAGAGCUCAACUCUGGAAUUGCCUUUGAGACUGAGUGGCUUGAGUACGAGAGAGGUGAGUGGAAUUCCGCGUGUAGCAGUGAAAUGCGUAGAGAUGCGGAGGAACACCGAUGGCGAAGGCAGCCCCCUGGGUCGACACUGACGCUCAGGCACGAAAGCGUGGGGAGCAAACAGG
rnacentral:rRNA from 1 species